rnacentral:rRNA from 1 species
UUAUUUGUGUUCAUAUUACUUGUAACUAAAGCAUUGGACGAUCCAUAUGCAGAUUGGCAAGGCUUUUAGGUGAGGUCAGUUACAUACUGAAGAGCAUGCACCUGUGUUGGCGACGAGCUCGUCAGCGCGGCCGUGGACGGGCGCCUCGGCGGCUGCACCUGUGAUGGCGAAGAGCUCGUCGUCGUGGCCGUCGUCAGGUGACUCGGCGGUUGCACUUGUGCUGGCGAAGAGCUCGUCGUCGCGGUCGUCGUCCGGUGCCUCGAUGUCUGCGCAGGGCAGCGAGCAGCGAUGGCGCACGUCAAGCCGGACGCCUGGAUUGAUUCCCCCCUAAUUUAGCAGAUUUCUUUCCGUAUAGUCGAGCAAGUCCAUGCGAAUUGGACGUGCUGUUUCCUUGUGCG